UUCUAGCGUGCAUGCACGGUUUAGAGAUAGGUGGAGAGACAAACUUGGCUGCUGGGAUUCAGGUGGCUCAGUUGGCUCUGAAGCAUCGUCAAAACAAGAAGCAACAACAAAGAAUUAUUGUUUUUGCAGGAAGUCCUGCCAAUCAUGAAAAGAAGUUGUUGGAGAUGAUUGGAAAGAAAUUAAAAAAGAACAAUGUGGCACUAGAUAUUAUUGAUUUUGGUGAAGAAGAUGAUG
rnacentral:misc_RNA from 1 species